AUUUUGCUUUUGUUGAUUUACUUUCAUUUUCAUUAAUUUUGUUUUUAUCUUAAAUUUCCUCAAAUUCAAUUUUUGACAUUAUUAAAUCUUGUCCCUUGUAGAUGUAUAUCAAUGAAGAAAGGCUGGUGAACUAUUGGGAGCUGCAAUCUGGUUAUUGCAGAGGAAAAAUGCAAUCUGCAGAAAAGGAAAAGUCUGCAGCAGAUAGAUUCUGUCCUUGAGCUGCAAUCUGGUUUAUGCAGAGAGGAAGAAGAAAUUCUGCAGCAAAGAGGGUGUUUGCAGCAGAUGGCUUGUGUUUUUGGUGAGGUUGGGUGUGAGACUUUUAAGUAUGUGUGAUUUUAAUCUUAAUAUGGUGGUAAGUGAGUCAUUUUUGCAGUUUUGAGCUUCUUUGGGUUGUAGGAUUCAAGGUAAAAAUGCUGCAUUUUCUUGGCAAAACUUGGAGACUUCAUUUCAUCAUUUGUGGUUAGAUGCAACUUCAUGCAAAUUUUAUGGAGUUUUAUGUGCUAAAUGUUGAUUUGCAGAAUUUGAGUCA
rnacentral:misc_RNA from 1 species